rnacentral:miRNA from 1 species
GUGUGUGUGUGUGUGUAUGUGUGUGUGUGUGUAUAUAUAUAUGUAUAUAUAUACAUAUAUAUAUACACACACACACACAUACACACACAA